GGCGCAUUCGUCUAGGGGCCUAGGACACAGCCCUCUCAAGGCUGAGACACGGGUUCGAAUCCCGUAUGCGCUACCA
rnacentral:tRNA from 1 species